UGCCGGCAUUUAGAAAAGCCUGGACUUAUUCAACUCAGAAGUGUGGGCACAUGAACACUGAACGACACCAUGAAGACCCGAAUACUGGUGGAAUGUAAAGAGAGUGGUGUGGCGCGAUACGUUACAUCACAUCACAUUCCCGUUGAGGAGAAGGGUUCCCUCUGUCGAUGUGCUCUGACUGCAUGAGCUUGGAGACAGGCUCUGCAGCAGGCGCUCCAGAACACAUCUAAUCAUCAGUCCUCGUUGGAUUGAUGAUUGCUGGAGCUUGGCCAGGACCGCCUCAGCGAGGGAGCCUGUAUUUUAGCAGCUCUGCCUGCUUAAUGCACGCCAAGAGACCAUACAGCAAGUGUCAGGCUAAUCAGGUUAAUGCUAACGAGGCGGUUGGUCCUGUUACUGGGCGACUGUGGCAGUGUGAGUUUUUUUUGUUUGUUUUUUGUUUCUUAAAUGUUGCAGUAUUGGUCAAUUCAAGUUAGUGCUACCCUGUGAUAAAGAGAAACAUCAUGAACUUUCACCCUUACAUGAAAGUGCACGGUCCUAAAUCUGCUGAAAGUUAAAAGAAAAAGAAAAGAAAGGGGGUUAGAUAGCUGUGAGGGAGAGUAGAAGAGGUUAAUAAUAGUAAUAAAAAUGAUAUGACCACUAGACAUAAGAUCUUGUGCUUUAAUUUUUUUUGUUAAUUAAGAUCUAUGUUCUAUUUCUUUUUGUGCAAAACUAGGCUUACAUGUAAUUACACAUCUGUUAAUUAUUGCUUGUUUUUUUUUUUAUUCUCCAUAAUAAAUCUCUUCACCACUACAUUCAUGUAUCUAGUUAGACGACUGACAUAAACAUUAAUAGAACACUCACUCAACGUUAAUGUAACUACUUUCCAGCUCAUGGAUGAUUACCUCUAGUGAUUAUCAUUACAAAUGACAGAUGAUUAUAUCAGAUGAGUGCAGACAACGCGAAACGAACUCUUGCGCACCCGAAGCACAAACACCCAUUUCCAGAUACAUUAGGCAGUGACUGUUUAGAUAAUUUGCGACUUUUCUCCUCCAAAAAUAGGCCUUUUCUCCCGCCUUCUCUGUUCUAAUAAUCAUAUGUGUAUGUCUCUGAUUGUGUGUAGUACUGCUGAAUGUGCUUGCACUCUGUGUGCUUUUAUGUAUGUGUGUGUGUGUGCUCUGUGCUUGCAGGGGCUGAUGCCGUUAAUGUCAGGUUAACAUUUGGAUCCCUCAGGCUGUGUCUCUACUCUGUAAUCUCCAGGAUCAGGUCAUCUCCCUCCAGGCUGCUGUCAGCAUUCACGUACACUUUGGCCACGGUGCCGGACAGCGGUGAGUUGACCACCGUCUCCAUCUUCAUGGCGCUCAGCACACACAGAGGCUGGCCCUUCUCCACCUUCUGGCCCUCCUUCACCUUCACCUCCACUACCUUCCCAGGCAUCGGUGCACCCACCUGCCCCCGCACAUCCUUCAGAGCCUUUGGAUGGAAGUGCAUCUCCUACAAGAGCACACAACACGACAACAGCAGCUUCAGGAUCUGGCCAUAAAGAAUCCCCCAGAGCCAGAGCUUUUAUAUGGAGUGUUUUCCCUCUCUCCAGCUCAACCUGAGCAAAACAGCAGGAAUGGAGGGACAAAACAAAAGAGAAGAUAAAAGGAAAGGAAGAGGCGAGUGUUGAGACAGUCAACUGGACCGAAUGCAGUGGUGAAUUCCUUAAACUCCUGGAACACCUUUGGGUACAUGGCAGCCGACAUCACAUCCUCUGGAGUGAUGUCGUCUCCGUGCGUAUCACGCAGCUGCUUCUCCAAAGCCUGGAAGUCCAUAGGGGGCAGCGAGGCACCGGGACGUCCCUCUAUACGAGGAAGAGACUUCAGUACCUGCACCAAACGAGGGGAGGAAAACUGUGUCAAUGCAUCAGUCUGAAGAUCAAUCUGCAUUAUUUUUGAAAGAGGUUCCAGCCAGUUAAGUGGACUGCUUGCUAAAGUACUCGGAUAUUAAAAGUAAAGUUAGUUUUCUCCGAGUAGCGUGUUUAUCCGUCCAAUAAAGCUGUGGUAUAGAUUUGGUUGGCUGGCAUCAUGUAAUUUCUGAACAACAUGCUUGCCUUCACCCUCCUAACACAUGUAGCGAAGUGUGAGAAAGGUGUGUAGCUCUUUAUUAAAGUUGAGACAUAUGUACUUUAUUACUUUGUAAAGUUAAUACCUACAUCACAAAACACAUCCUACAAUAAAAUAAACAAAUAAAGUUAAUUAAAAAAAACAUAUUUAAAGAUGUAAA